GCUUACGGCCACACCGCCUGGUUCAUGCCCGAUCUCGUUUGAUCUCGGAAGCUAAGAUAGGUUGGGCCUGGUUACUACUUGGAUGGGAGACCGCCUGGGAAUACCAGGUGCUGUAAGGC
ensembl:rRNA 5S_rRNA 5S ribosomal RNA